UGGAUAACCUACCUAUAAGACUGGGAUAACUUCGGGAAACCGGAGCUAAUACCGGAUAAUAUUUUGAACCGCAUGGUUCAAAAGUGAAAGACGGUCUUGCUGUCACUUAUAGAUGGAUCCGCGCUGCAUUAGCUAGUUGGUAAGGUAACGGCUUACCAAGGCAACGAUGCAUAGCCGACCUGAGAGGGUGAUCGGCAACACUGGAACUGAGACACGGUCCAG
rnacentral:rRNA from 1 species